GGCCCGUUGGUCAAGCGGUUAAGACACUGCCCUUUCACGGCGGUAACACGGGUUCGAAUCCCGUACGGGUCACCA
rnacentral:tRNA from 1 species